rnacentral:rRNA from 1 species
AUUGAACGCUGGCGGCAUGCCUUACACAUGCAAGUCGAACGGCAGCACGGGAGCAAUCCUGGUGGCGAGUGGCGAACGGGUGAGUAAUAUAUCGGAACGUGCCCGGUCGUGGGGGAUAACCGUAGCGAAAGCUACGCUAAUACCGCAUACGAUCUACGGAUGAAAGCGGGGGAUCGCAAGACCUCGCGCGAUUGGAGCGGGCCGAUAUCAGAUUAGGUAGUUGGUGAGGUAAAGGCUCACCAAGCCGACGAUCUAGUAGCUGGUCUGAGAGGACGACCC